UAGUCGGUCUGCUGGCUUUGAACUUAGUCACAGACUUGCGCCCAGAGUUCCUCAUCUUAGCUCAUGGCCAGCCUGUUCAUUUCCUCUACUGAGCACCUUACAUACUUUCUGGUGACUUCGUAGAGUUAAAUGCCAUUUAACCACUAGAGGGAAACAUACCAAUCUACUAUGAGCAAUUCAGUCUCCAAAUAGAAAAUUCCCCCUUCAAUUGCCGGCCCUGAAGCGUGUUUUCUGUUGAAAUUCUCCCUCUGAAUAUCGACAGCAUUAUAAUAAGGAAUCAGCAAAGGACCAUUUCGUGUGGCAGGGCAGGACUGCUCCUGGAGGUGAAACUGCAUUGGAGACAGUUCUCUAAGCCUCACAGAGGACUUCUGAAGUUAACCAUGUGAAGAAUUGGAUGAGAAAUCCUCUUACUGUGUACUCAGCUGACUAAGAGGAUCCCAG
rnacentral:sRNA from 1 species